CUAUGAAUCGCAUCCAAUUCCGUAAACCUUCUUCUGCGUCUAAAGUGAUUCUGCUGCCAUUAAUGCUGCUCGAUUUGGUUCGUCUUCCUGCAAUGUAAUGAUGUAAGCUGCGAUUCUUACGGAGCCGAAUAAUUUUUGGCUGGGAGAAGGAUUGUGUGUCCUGCACAUACAAUAAAUUAUUCGCAUGACUUCAGAGAUUUAUUGAUAUGUAUAAUUUCUUAUAUUAAAUUAAAAAGAAAUUUGUUCGACAUCUAAAGCAUUAGAUAGAAAAAUUCUGAAUUAGAUUGAACAGAAAUUAGAAAAGGUGUCUAUAGAAACAAAUAUUUGAUCCGAUUUGAUGUUAUCUAAACCAUCAACAACUCGACAAUCUCCAAUCUUCGAAUUCCUCCCCUCUUGUGAAGCAAGAAAACCUCUGAUUCCAACCUUCUUAUCUUCAACAAUUAAUGCUCUAAACAAACCUAAAAGGCUAAAACAGAAGCAUCCGCCGAUCAGUCUUUACCUUUCCCUUCUCCUACCAUUCAUUACCUCCAAAACCCCAUUCAAAAAAGCCUUCCUUUUUCCGUCUGCUCCAUUCCGUUCGCCCCCUUCCUCCUCCGCCACCUCCUGCAUU
rnacentral:lncRNA from 1 species